AUGUCAAGAGAAAUACACAAAGAAGUAGCUACUAGCUACACAUUAAAAAGUUGUUGCUUCAAAUGUACUCACAUACUACACAAGCAUUAAAAACGACAAGAAAGGUCGACGGAUUAUAGUUUUGCCUAGUGAGUGUUCAGGCUCUCUUCAUCAGUACAACCAUUAUCACCAUAACUGCCAAUCCCAUGAAACUAGUUCCCAUUACAUUUUUAUAAUCCAUGAAACUGCCUCCAUCAGCAUCAGCUGAAGAUUUGUCUUUCUCAACUGUUGGGAAUAUGUUCUGAAAGAAAUUGGACAUUCUACUUACCAUUUCAGUAACUGUCAGCUUCAAAUUCUGCAGAAUACCCAUAAAAUCAAAAACAUUUCCUGACUGAGACUCAGGCUUUUCCUCUUUUUCAGGAGUUUCUGCAAAUCCAGAACCAGCAAAAGCAGCACCAUUUGUUGAAUCUGCA
rnacentral:lncRNA from 1 species